AUUCCAGUCGUCAGCAAGUCCAAUGUGCUUAGACGAAAGUUCGUCAGAAGCACCAAAGUCAUCGUUAGAGCCGAAGCUAACAAUGUCUUCCUCAUCUUCUUCAUCCAUAUCACACCAACUGCGGCCAAAUUUAAGAUGAUCCUUGUUUCCUUUAAUACUGUUAGGAAAUACGAUAGCUGGUGCACUGCAAGAAUAGGGAGAACGUUUCGUAUUAACGGGUACUGCUGUUGCAAUGGAUUUUCCAAUAUGCAUAUUAUUGAGACUUUCACCAAGUCCAGAAUCAUAGGAACGUUCGCUAUUGUUGACUGGAGCCAAAGAUGCAGGGCUCCGAGGAGACGACGAGGUUGAAAUGUUCUCAUCAACGUCAGACAAAGCUGGCAACUUUGAAGGAAGAAGACCACGCUGUAUGGUGUUAGCGGGUGUCAAAACAGAUGGAGUACGUAACGGUUCGCGAUCUGAUUGAGUACAACGAACGUUGUCCUCAGCAGGCAUGAAAUCGGAUGCGCGAAAUUCUUCUUCUUCAUUAACGAAGCUUUCCAAUUCCUCAUCAUCUGUCGUCCACUUGGUAACCGCGAGUACGGCUUCCCUCGUUUUGGCGAGAGAACGUUUCUCUGGACUCACACAAAGGCAUGCUCGCAAGACGUUAUAUGUAUCUUGACUCAACGUAGGGAAAACGUCAAAUAAGGUCAUUGCGUCCAACAUGUAAUCAGCAAAUAUAGGAUCCUUUUCGUGUGGAUAGGUAAAAGGAUUACGUGCAAAAAUUAAGUUUAAAAGGCAAAUACCAAGAGCCCAUAUAUCCGCUGCACGAGGGCUGUAACCAGCACCAUCAACUUCCUCAAACUGUUCAGGAGCCAUGUAACGGUCACUGCCAGUUCCAAAGUCAUAAGAUAUUUUGUCCCUGCAAGCAAGUCCAAAAUCACUGAUCUUGACCACAAGCUCAGAUCCAUCUUCUGAAAGAGAAAGAAGAAAGUUUUCUGGCUUUAAGUCACGAUGGUAGAUACCAUGAGAAUGCAAAUGUGCAACACCAU